rnacentral:rRNA from 1 species
CAGCAGCCGCGGUAAUACGGAGGGAGCUAGCGUUGUUCGGAAUUACUGGGCGUAAAGCGCACGUAGGCGGUUAUUCAAGUCAGAGGUGAAAGCCCGGGGCUCAACCCCGGAACUGCCUUUGAAACUAGAUGACUAGAAUCUUGGAGAGGUCAGUGGAAUUCCGAGUGUAGAGGUGAAAUUCGUAGAUAUUCGGAAGAACACCAGUGGCGAAGGCGACUGACUGGACAAGUAUUGACGCUGAGGUGCGGAAGCGUGGGGAGCAAACAGGAUUAGAUACCCCCGUAGUCCCUGUCUCUUAUAC